UAACCUCCCUGGCGGUAAUCCCGAGUGUGGCUCGGGGGUUAAUUUUCAUUACCAAAAGCGGUAUCCCCCGAGCCACGCUCUGGGUAGACUUUCUA